AAUUCGAGACUAUGAUCGUAUGCUUCUCCCAUCGAAUCUCAUCCGAAAGGAAAUCGAUUCCUCGGUGACAACCUCCUACCGCUCUAUUAUCGCCACUAAACGCCCGCAACCCUGUAGUGUAGUAUGAGGAAUUUGGGCUUUGAUUUCUAUCACCAACAAGUCUGCCGUCAAUUACCGCCACGAAACAUGUGAGCAAUUUCGGUGAGUGGUUGAUUCUUUCAAUUUCCUUAUGACUUUGGUCCAAUUGCUCAUCUUUCUAAUCCUUAUAUGUUUUUGAGCGAUGUUUUCGACUUUUUGGGUUUGAGUAUCAACAUCCUGUCCAAAAAUCAAGAUCCGGUUUCUGUCACCAACAACGUCUGCCGUCGCCGUCAAUUACCGCCACCAAACAUCAGCCACCAAACGCCUGUUCUACGUUAUUGUUCACAAUUCGUAAAAGCUUUCUUCAAAUGCCUCCAAAACGACGACAUAUGGCUUCUACUUCCAAUACAAUAGUACCCUGUCGUUCACAUCGAUCACGCAGGAGUUCACUUUUAGAGGAGAUACCAGCAUUGCCUUUUUAUUAUGACUGUGGAAAUUGUACUUGCGUAUGUGAGUAUUGUGGGGGCUUUUUUGAUAUCAUGAGAGAGUAUUGUAUUUAUCCCGAGCCAAUCAUCCACGAUAUACGAAAUGUUGUAAGUCAGAGCAAUCUCCUCAAACAUGGAUAGAAUAUCAAACCUUCAAUUUGGUUCACCAGGAAAUUCACUUGAAAUUCAUGUCUUGCGAAAAUGGACACUACAAUUUAGAAAGGACGAGACAUGGUUUAUCGUGAUUGAUGAGCAUGGAGAUACAAUUCAGCUACUUGCACAAAAGACAAAUCAACGAUGCAUAGAAACUUCAUUAGUAGUCUCUCGAUGUUAUCGUAUUAAGGACUAUACAUGCACUGAGCUAGACAAAUAUCAAAAGGUGUUAAAUCACCCAGUACACAUGAAUAUUGGUGAAGCAUCAACAAUUGAGGAAAUUCCAAACCACAGUGUCAUUCCUCUAACAUGGUUCCGCUUCGGUCCGAGAUCACACUUUCAAAUAAUAGCAGACAAAAACUUGGAGC